rnacentral:rRNA from 1 species
UUAGAGUUUGAUCCUGGCUCAGGACGAACGCUGGCGGCGUGCUUAACACAUGCAAGUCGAGCGGUAAGGCCUUUCGGGGUACACGAGCGGCGAACGGGUGAGUAACACGUGGGUGAUCUGCCCUGCACUUCGGGAUAAGCCUGGGAAACUGGGUCUAAUACCGGAUAUGACCUCAGGUUGCAUGACUUGGGGUGGAAAGAUUUAUCGGUGCAGGAUGGGCCCGCGGCCUAUCAGCUUGUUGGUGGGGUAAUGGCCUACCAAGGCGACGACGGGUAGCCGACCUGAGAGGGUGACCGGCCACACUGGGACUGAGACACGGCCCAGACUCCUACGGGAGGCAGCAGUGGGGAAUAUUGCACAAUGGGCGAAAGCCUGAUGCAGCGACGCCGCGUGAGGGAUGACGGCCUUCGGGUUGUAAACCUCUUUCAGCAGGGACGAAGCGCAAGUGACGGUACCUGCAGAAGAAGCACCGGCUAACUACGUGCCAGCAGCCGCGGUACGCC